CCUGAUACUGUUGUGUGGAUAAGUUUCUCC
rnacentral:piRNA from 1 species